UCCCGGGAAAGUGCAUGAUGGUGGGGCCAAGACGUUUUCCCUGGGCUUUUAAGGGAGCAGGGAGGGUGAGAAUUGGCCUGGCGGGCGCGGGGGUCGCGCGCGGUGGAGUGAGCCUGCUAAACGCCAGGAGAUGAAAAGGUGGAGCCGGGGUCGGAUCGGUGGGGUGGGGGAGGGUAAUUUGCCGACGUAGGGAGAAGAAGGUGAAGUGGGGGGUGGAGGGUGUGGAAUAGAAAUAGAAAAUAAAUACAUAAUAAAGAAAGAAAAUAAAGAGAGGAAAGAGAAGGAGAAGGAAGGAAGGAAGGAGGGAAGGAGGAAAGGGAAGGAUGGAGGGAGGGAAGGGAGGCUCUGUCUCUAUUUGGAGUAUGUAGUUUAGGUUUUUGUCUCAAGUAUACGGAGUUAGUGAAACCUGACCUGUCAGCUGAUGUCCAGAUGGGUGCGAACUUCAAUGGACGUAAACAUCACUUGAGGAGCCAGCAGUUUUGUGGCCAACCUGUGGAGGUGAACCUUCUCUUAAGUCUCCAAGCCACGCCUCCUGCACUUCCUUAACCCCAACCCAAGGUUUAACCUUCCACCUCGGGAGCCCACCGUCACCAUCUCCCAGACGACGUCUGCUGACCCUUAAAGCUCCAGCGGUGACAAAUGAAAAUGGUGUCAGGACGCCUUUCCACUCCUCUGUUGUGUUUGUAUCCCUCAUCAUAUCAUUUUAGAAGCCUUUUGCUCUAUUUUUCUGGGAGACCUGGAGAAGGCAAACUCGUUUAGGACACUAGCAACCCAAUCAAAGAAUUGCGACCCGAGAAAUCUUCACAGAGCCGGGUUUACAGAAAGGCAGAGGAGCUCAGGACAUGCAGAGUGGUGUAUUUCAAACUGUGCAACUGACCAAAGCUUAAAUUAUAGUUCAGAGAUGUCUUACAAUUCAUAGAUGGUUUUGGUUGAGACUUAGGGCCAUACAAUGGAAUAUGAAAGAAAAAUAAGCUUAAUGUUCAAAUAUGUGUGUUUAGAAAGCCUGCAGGAAAGAAGACAAUAGAGUGUUAGACCCAGAAUCCAGGAAAUGCUAGCACAAGGCCUGUAAGUGUUGAGAUAAACUGGACCCAGUCAUUGUCCUACCAUGCAGCUGACAGAUCUCUUUACGUCUGCGUUCUCCUUUGGAAAAGGGUACUUAGCAACUUAGAAAUGCCUCCUAUAUGAUAGAAAUCCUCCUCUGUCUACACAAAUGAUGUUACUGUUUGGGGCCUCCAAGGCAUUAAACAUGAACUAUUAAAAGAAACAGAGGUUUCUGUUUAUCCAGGGGAUUUGUAUAUGACAAUCUAUCUAUCACUCUCUAUGUUGCACAGCCCUCUGCCACACAUUUAAUGGAUGUUCAAUUAUUGGUCAAAGUCACAAAUGUUUUUCCUUGGAUUUUGGAACCUUCAAACACUCCUAGUUCAAAUGUAAAAUGGCACAACACUUUGAAAAACAGUUUAGGACUUCCUCAAAAAGUUGAACACAGAAUUUCUAUUUAACCCAACAUUUCCAUCUCUAAGUAUAUAUCCAAGAGAAAUGAAAACUUAUAUGUACACAAAACCUUUACCCAAAUACUCAUAGUGGUUUUAUUCAUAAAACCCCAAAGUGGAAAUUUCCCAAAUGACCGUCAACUGAUGAGUAGAUAAACACAAGGGAACAUUAUUUGACCAUGAAAAGGAAUGAAGUAGUGAUUCAUGCUACAACAUAAAUGAACCUUAAGAAGAUUUUGCUAAGUGAAAAAAACCAGACAUUGGGAUCAUAUAUUAUUCUGUUUAUAAAAAAUGUCCAGAGUACACAAAUCUGUGGAGAUAAAAAGUAGGUUAGUGGUUACCUAGGGCUUGGAGUAGGUAAGUAAAGGGCACAGGAUUUCUUUUUGGGGAGAUGAAAAUGUUCUAAAAUAGAUUGUGGUGAUAGUUGCACAACUCUAUGACUAUUAAAACCUAUUGAAUUGUGCACUUUAAAUGGGUGAGUUGUGGUAUAUGAAUUAUAUCUCAAUAAAGCUGUUACAAAAGUCAGUGGAAAAAAAUAGUCUCAGGUUGGGGGGAACGGAGAGGAAAACCAGGUAAGUUUAAAAGAGACUCACUGAAAAAUCAUUCUUCACACUUACACUUGUGUUCAGUGUUUCUUUUCUUUAACUUGACCUUGUCCUUUUGGUCCCACCAGACACCUACUUUGGGCAAGGGUAUCCUCAUAUCUAACUGCCCGGACUGGAAAAAAGGUGUCAGCGUAUGACUAAAAAGAAUUCAGUGAAACCCCAGUAAACUCUACCCCCAAUGUGGGACUGGAACUCCCCACCAGAGAUCAGGAGUUGCAUGCUGUACUGACUGAGCCAGCGAGGCACCCGUAGAAAUCACCUUUUUCAUCAAAUGGCUUCACCAACCUCUUUAGAAUCCAGUGCACAAGACCAAGGAAUGGGCCCAGGAAUCCUUUGGAGGAAAUAUGGAGAGCAUUGGCAAUAGUUGUUAAGGUGAGUAAUAUAUAAACAUAUAUGUAUUUGCAAUUUAUAAAUAAAACCAAUAAUCAUUUCAACAUUUCUUGACAUUCUGUGUGUAAUACAGAUUUUCCUCGAUUUAUAAUGGGGUUAUGACCUGACAAACCCAUUGUAACUUGAAAAGAUUGUACGUCAAAAGUGCAUUUAAUACACUUAACCUGCCUUACGUCGUAGCUUAGCCUAGCCCACUUUAAAUGUGAUCGGAACACUUACAUUAACCUACAGUUGGGAAAAUCAUCUAAUACAAAGCCCAUUUCAUAAUAAAGUGUUGACUGUCUCAUGUAAUGUAUUGCGUGUUGCAUUGAAACGGUUGUACGGGUACGAGUGGUUGCAUAAGUGAAGCAGUUGUUUACCCUCAUGACCGGGACCUGCGGCUGCUGCUGUCUGAAAUCAUGAGACAGGGUCACACUGCAUAGCCUGGGAAAAGAUCCAGAUUCUAAAUUCAAAGUAUGGUUUCUUUUUUUUUAUUAAGUUUUAUUUAUUUCUUUUGAGAGAGACAGAGAUGGCGCACAAGCAGGGGAAGGGCAGAGAGAGAGGGAGAGAGGGGAUCCCAAGCAGGCUCCACACCAGCAGCACAGACCCCAAUGCUGGGCUCAAACUCAUAAAUCAUGUGAUCACCACCUGAGGUGAAAUCAAGAGUCGGACGCUUAACCAACUGAGCCAUCCAGGAGCCCCUCAAAGUAUGGUUUCUAUGGACUGCAUACGGCUUUCAAACCAUCAUAAAGUUGAACCAUUGUAAAUCAAACCAUCGUAAGUUGGGGACCAUCUGUACACACAACCAUGAAUUGUGGGCAAGGACGACUGUCAAGAAGUAGUAGACCCACUGACUUCUUUCUCAUGCAUUACCAUUUAUUUAAAGAGAUGAGGCCAAAGAAUUUGAAUACUGAUUCCAGGGGAAUUCUACCAAACAUUUAAGGAAGAGUUAACACCUGUUCUCUUGAAGCUGUUCCAAAAAAUAGAAAUGGAAGGAAAACUUCCAAACUCUUUCUAUGAAGCCAGCAUUACCUUGAUUCCAAAACCAGACAGAGACCCCACUAAAAAGGAGAACUAUAGACCAAUUUCCCUGAUGAACAUGGAUGCAAAAAUCCUCAACAAGGUAUUAGCCAACUAGCUCCAACAAUGCAUUAAAAAAAUCAUUCACCACGACCAAGUGGGAUUUAUACCUGGGAAGCAGGGCUGGUUCAAUAUCCGCAAAACAAUUAACGUGAUUCAUCACAUCAAUAAAAGAAAGGACAAGAACCAUAUGAUCCUCUCAAUAGAUGCAGAGAAAGCAUUUGACAAAAUACAGCAUCAUUUCUUGAUAAAAACCCUCAAGAAAGUAGGGGUAGAACGAUCAAACCUCAAGAUCAUAAAAGCCAUAUAUGAACGACCCAACACUAAUAUCAUUCUCAAUGGGGAAAAACUGAAAGCUUUCCCCAUAAGGUCAGGAACAAGACAGAGAUGUCCACUCUCACCACUGUUAUUCAACAUAGUCUUGGAAGUCUUAGCCUCUGCAAUCAGACAACACAAAGAAAUAAAAGGCAUCCAAAUCAGCCAGGAGGAAGUCAAACUUUCACUCAUCGCAGAUGACAUGAUAUUCUAUAUGGAAAGCCCAAAAGAUUCCACCAAAAAACUGCUAGAAUUGAUUCAUGACUUCAGCAAAGUGGCAGGAUAUAAAAUCAAUGCACAGAAAUCGGUUGCAUUCCUAUACACUGACAAUGAAGCAACAGAAAGAGAAAUCAAGCAAUCAAUCCCAUUUACAGUUGCACCAAAAACCCUAAAAUACCUAGGAAUAAAUCUAAACAAAGAGGUGAAAAAUCUAUACACUGAAAACUAUAGAAAGCUUAUGAAAGAAAUUGAGGAAGGCAUAAAAAAAUGGAAAAAGAUUCCAUGCUCCUGGAUAGGAAGAACAAAUAUUGUUCAAAUGUCGAUACUACCCAAAGCGAUCUACAUAUUCAAUGCAAUCCCUAUCAAAAUAACACCAGCAUUCUUCACAGAGCUAAAACAAUCCUAAAAUUUGUAUGGAACCAGAAAAGACCCCGAAUAGCCAAAGCAAUCUUGAAAAAGAAAACCAAAGCAGGAGGCAUCAUAAUCCCAGACUUCAAGCUAUACUAGAAAGCUGUAAUCAUCAAGACAGUAUGGUACUGGCACAAGAACAGACACUCAGAUCAAUGGAACAAAAUAGAGAACACAGAAAUGGACCUACAAAAUGUAUGGGCAACUAAUCUUUGACAAAGCAGGAAAGAAUAUCCAGUGGAAUAAAGACAGUCUCUUCAGCAAGUGGUGCUGGGGAAACGGGACAGCGACAUGCAGAAGAAUGAACCUGGACCACUUUCUUACACCAUACACAAAAAUAAACUCAAAAUGGAUGAAAGAUCUAAACGUAAGACAGGAAGCCAUCAAAAUCCUCGAGGAGAAAGCAGGCAAAAACCUCUUUGAUGUUGGCCACAGGAACUUCUUACUCAACACAUCUCCAGAGGCAAGGGAAACAAAAGCAAAAAUAAACUGCUGGGACCUCAUCAAAAUAAAAAGCUUCUGCACAGCAAAGGAAACAAUCAGCAAAACCAAAAGGCAAUCGAUGGAGUGGGAGAAGAUAUUUGCAAAUGACAUAUCAGAUAAAGGGUUAGUAUCCAAAAUCUAUAAAGAGCUUAUCAAACUCAACAUCCAAAAAACAAAUAAUCCAGUGAAGAAAUGGGAAAAAGACAUGAAUAGACACUUCUCCAAAGAAGACAUCCAGAUGGCCAACCGACACAUGAAAAAAUGCUCAACAUCACUCAUCAUCAGGGAAAUACAAAUCAAAACCACAAUGAGAUACCACCUCAUACCUGUCAGAAUGGCUAAAAUUAACAACUCAGGCAACAACAGAUGUUGGCGAGGAUGCGGAGAAAGAGGUUCUCUUUUGUAUUGUUGGUGGGAAUGCAAGCUGGUACAGCCACUCUAGAAAACAGUAUAAAGAUUCCUCAAAAAACUAAAAAUAGAGCUACCCUACGACCCAGCAAUUGCACUACUAGGUAUUUAUCCAAGGGAUCCAGGUAUGCUGUUUUGAAGGGACACAUGCACCCCAAUGUUUAUAGCAGCACUAGCAACAAUAGCCAAAGUAUGGAAAGAGCCCAAAUGUCCAUUGAUGGAUGAAUGGAUAAAGAAGAAGCGGUAUAUAUAUACAAUGGAGUAUUACUUGGCAAUCAAAAACAAUGAAAUCUUGCCAUUUGCAACUACGCCAAUGGAACUGGAGGGUAUUACGCUAAGUGAAAUUAGUCAGUCAGAGAAAGACAAAUAUCAUAUGACUUCAUUCGUAUGAGGACUUUAAGAGACAAAACAGAUGAACAUAAGGGAAGGGAAGCAAAAAUAAUAUAAAAACAGGGAGGGAGACAAAGUAUAAGAGACUCAUAAAUAUGGAGAAAAAACUGAGGGUUACUGGAGGGGUUGUGGGAGGAGGGGUGGGCUAAAUGGGUAAGGGGCACUAAGGAAUCUACUCCUGAAGUCAUUGUUGCACUAUAUGCUAACUAAUUUUGAUGUAAAUUAAAGAAAAUAAAAUUAAAAUAAAAGAAUUUGAAUAAUGAAAAUGGUUUAAAAACAGCACACAUUUAAUGGAGAAGCAUAAGGUUAGACCAGUCAUUCUCCUUUGGAAAGGAGUUAUAUUCCUCUAUGGCUAAGGAGAUUCUUCAGAUUAUACAGGUCCCCACAUCCAUAUGCUGAGGUUCUGGUACAAACUCUUUCUUCACCCAUUGAGAAUAGAUGCAUACUGAGCCACUGUUACAAAAGAACAUAUUUGAUCUCUCAGAUAAGUUGCUAUGGGGAAAAGUCGUGAACUCUUAUAAGAAGUGUCUAGUGACUCAUGGAUAGGUUUAAACUGGUCUUGAAGAAAGCAUAGGGUUUGGAUGGACAGAGAAGAUGGAAAUCAUUUCAAAUAUGAUACUUGAUAGAGGGGCAGGAAAUUAACCAUGAGAUAUUCACAUUCCUGUGGGGCACAAGUUAAGGAAGGGAGAUAAGUCUGAAAGGAUAGAUUAUGGUGAAAUCGUGGAAUAUGAACUCCAUAAAUUAGUCAUUUUGUCUACCUUAUUUACUUCUGUAUGUCCAGCAUCUGGAACAGUGCCUUGCAUAUUAUAGGCCUUCAUGUAUGUUGAAUGAAUGAGGUCUUGAAUGUCAAAUUUAACAUUUAGGACAUUAUCUUCCAGCAUCUAGACAGUGGAGAAUAACUGGUGGUAUUAAUGGAGAUAUGCACCCAGAGUUCCAGCAGGGGAUCGAGAUGAAGCUAUAGGAAGCAAGGGUAUAGGGGGAAGGCAAAAGUUAAGAACUCCUAAAAAUGUUCAGACAGAGGGUGAGGAGAAAGAAAAUCCAGGAAGAUAAAGAAGCACUGUUAGAUAAUAAACAGAACAAACAUAAAAUAUCACUUUAUAAUUUACAAACUCUCUCUUAUGCAUGAUAACACGUAGGGCAGGCAUUGCUUCUCCCAUUUUACAGAGGUAGAAUAAUAAUAUAAACAUUAACAAAGUAGAGGUAAAAAAAAAAAAAAAGAGCCAAACCAAUUGCAGAAACUAAAAGUAGUACUAAGAAUAACUGGCUAGGGGCGCCUGGGUGGCUCAGUCGGUUGAGCCUGGGCUCAGGUCAUGAUCUCACAGUUCGUGAGUUCGAGCUUCGCUUCAGGCUCUGCUGACAGCUUGGGGUUGGGGCCUGCUUCAGAUUUCGUAUCUCCCUCUCUCUCUCUGCCCCUCCCCUGCACACACUUGGCCCUUUCUCUCAAAAAUAAAUAAACAUUUAAAAAAUUAAAAAAAAAAAAAGAAUAACAGGCUAGGGAGUGCCUGCCUGGCUCAGUCAGUAUAGCAUGCAACUCUUGAUCUCGGGGUUGUGAGUUCAAGCCCCAUGUUGGGUAUAAAGCUUACUUUAAAAAAAAAUCAACUGGAUUUAGUAAAAAUUAAAAAACAAAGUACAGGUUAAUCAGUCUGGAUCCAAUCGGGAAAUAGAAAACACACACUAAUUUGAACAGAGGAGGUUAUAUAUAAAGAGUUAUUAUUAAACUAGAAUAGGAGAGUAACUACUUUAAAAGAUGUAAAAAGAGGGGAGUCUGGGUGACUCAGUUGGUUGAGUGUCCAAUUCUUGAUUUGGCUCAGGUCAUGACCUCAGGGGCCUGGAAUCAAGCCUUCCAUUGGGCUCCUCGCUGAGCAUGGAGCCUGCUUGAGAUUCUCCCUCUCUCUCUCUCCCUCCACCCUUCUCUCCCUCUUGUCUUCGCAUGCUCUCUCUCUAAGAAAAUAAAAAGUAAUAAGUUAAAAACUAAGUUUAAAAAAAAAAGACGUAAAGAGAACUCAAAAGGAUACCUAGGCUGUUGGACAGUGUCCAAGGAAGGGAAAACUUGGAGGAAGGCCCACUCCCCAAGCCUGGGUUUUAGACCUCAUUAGAGAAGGUAUGGUUACCCCCAUGGAAUAGCAGGGAAGUUUGCUGGGUUGCCUGAGCCAAAGCUGAUCCACAGCUAUUAGGCUGUGGGCAACAACCCUCUAGGGCACAGAUGAGCCAAGGCUGGUCGGAUGGUGCACAGAGAGAGUCCAGCUGCCACUGCUGACAGGAGGUCUGGAACAAUCCAGCGUUGAUGUCAAAGAGUCGUGAAGUGGUCAAUUUGGCCUGGACCUCACUGCAAGAUCACCAAGGGAUGGUGUAUGGCUGGUGCAGAGUGUCUCCAGAUAUCCCCCUCUACACAACAUUGAUGCACCUUUAAGCAGGAGUUUAACAAAGAAAAUCAUAGCGCACUGACACCAGAAGCCUCCUUCUUCCUGCAGCAUCUCUCCCGUCCCCUCUACUGGCAUUGUGCUCACCAUAAUAAAGAAAUGCUAUAAACAGCAAUACAUUAGCACAGAAUAGAUAUAGGAACUGAAAAGGAAUAAAUUGGUGGCUUGCACCAUGGAUUAUUUGACAUUUUCAAGAGUGCCUGUAUACAACUGAGCUGUUCUGAGCUGAACUGGGGUGCUGAGAGAGGAUUGAGAGGGAGGGGGAGUGGAAGGAGUAGAGUAGGUAGCUGAAGGUUGACAUAGCAACUCUAGAGCAAAGUGAGAGAUUUUAUGUCCCAGCAUUUCCGUAUAAAAUCCCAGAAAACAGGAAAAGAUUCUGAUAAACCGAGCCCAGGUCUCCUACCCAAACCUGGUCUUUCCCUGUGGCAAGAGGCACUGAGUAUCAUGAUUGACCAAGCCUGAGUCAGUCGCUCACCCCUUUGGCCACAGAGCUGAGUCACUGUGAUUGACAGCUAUAUCAGACAGAUCAUCAUAAGGUGGGAGAGGGAAAUUUUCCCAAAGGGAGAGUGUUAUGACCAAAAGAGGGACAGAGAUGCUGGUGUCUAUUACAGGGAUGAAAAUGGGAUAAAGCUGUCUCUGAAAAGGGCUUUUUGUUGUUGUUGUUGUUUUGUGUUUCUGUUUUGUUUUGUUUUGUUUUUACUGUAUUGUUACAUUAAUUCAUUCUUUUAAGAGUCCCGUAUUAAUCUUAGGGCAGAGCUGGAUGGAGGUCAUGACAGGAAGCAGUGCAAAGUGAAUGCUACAUCAGAAUGCGUCAGUAGUCUCCCUCUCUGACUCCUCUGACAGUCACCACAGAGCAGUCAAUGUUUUGAGAUAGUAGAAUUUUUAUUUUAAUUCUCCAUUAAUUGAUGUGAAUGAUAUAUAAAAACAAAGCGAUUCUAAACCUUAAAUAUUUCUCUGAAGAUAGAUAAAAUCUAUUUCCCCCUUCCCAAGAAGUACGCAUGGGUUGAACUCCAAUGUUGCUGCUUUUGUUUUGCAAUGGUCUGAAGUUCAGGACAGUGAAAUCCAGUUACCCAACUGGAGUUAACUAUACCAAGGCAAUGGAUACCAGCAAGAAAGGUGUGGAAAACAAUGCCGGUACCCAUUUGUUCCUCGGUUGGAUCAGAAGAGUUUCAGUGAUACCAAAUCUUGUGCUGGUUGUGACAUCUGUGUCCAUGAAUAUGCUGACUGUGACUGGGCACCCUUCAUAUGAAGAGAUCUGAGUUCUUCAUGGCAUGCCAGAUGCAGUUGCUAUUAUUGGAUAAUCAUCCAAUUUCUCCAUAUGCCUUCCAAGGGAAAACGAGUCAAUUUCAGGUAAGCAUCUAAGGAGCUCUUACUUAUCUGCUCAGCAUUGUUUCUUUAUAGAUACUAAAAAUAAAUAGGGCAAAAAUUUUCCAACUUGAUCCCUUUAAUAAUUUAUAUGUAGGUGUCUCAGAGCACUAAGAAAAUUAAACUGUUUUUAAAGGCUGAUAAAUAACAA